UACGUAGGGUGCGAGCGUUGUCCGGAAUUAUUGGGCGUAAAGGGCUCGUAGGCGGUUUGUCGCGUCGGGAGUGAAAACCCAGGGCUUAACCCUGGGCUGGCUUCCGAUACGGGCAGACUAGAGGUAUGCAGGGGAGAACGGAAUUCCUGGUGUAGCGGUGAAAUGCGCAGAUAUCAGGAGGAACACCGGUGGCGAAGGCGCCACUCUGGGCCGGAACUGACGCUGAGGAGCGAAAGCGUGGGUAGCAAACAGG
rnacentral:rRNA from 1 species